rnacentral:rRNA from 1 species
AGUGAACGCUGGCGGUAGGCCUAACACAUGCAAGUCGAACGGCAGCACAGUAAGAGCUUGCUCUUACGGGUGGCGAGUGGCGGACGGGUGAGGAAUACAUCGGAAUCUACUUUUUCGUGGGGGAUAACGUAGGGAAACUUACGCUAAUACCGCAUACGACCUACGUGUGAAAGCAGGGGAUCUUCGGACCUUGCGCGAUUGAAUGAGCCGAUGUCGGCUUAGCUAGUUGGCGGGGUAAAGGCCCACCAAGGCGACGAUCCGUAGCUGGUCUGAGAGGAUGAUCAGACACACUGGAACUGAGACACGGUACAGACUCCUACGGGAGGCAGCAGUGGGGAAUAUUGGACAAUGGGCGAAAGCCUGAUACAGCCAUACCGCGUGGGUGAAGAAGGCCUUAGGGUUGUAAAGCCCUUUUGUUGGGAAAGAAAAGCAGCAGGUUAAUACCCCGCUGUUAUGACGGUACCCAAAGAAUAAGCACCGGCUAACUUCGUG